GAAAGGUAACGCUUAAGGAUGAGUUGGCGGCUGAUUAGGCUGUUGGUGAAGUAAAGGCUCACCAAACCAAAGAUCAGUAGGGGCCCUGAGAGGGGUAGCCCCGAGAAGGGUACUGAGAUACUGACCCUAGCCCUAAGGGGUGCAGCAGGCGCGAAAACUUUACAAUGCGCGAAAGCGUGAUAAGGGAAUCCCAAGUGCUUAUCCAUUGGAUAGGCUUUUGCCAAGUGUAAAAAGCUUGGAGAAUAAGUGGUGGGCAAGACUGGUGCCAGCCGCCGCGGUAACACCAGCGUCCACGAGUGGCGUUCAUUAUUAUUGGGUCUAAAGCAUUCGUAGUUGGUUUGUCAAGUCUUUUGUGAAAUUGUUGGACUUAAUUCAACAGCGUGCAAGAGAUACUAACAAGCUCGAGACCGGGAGGGGGCAAGAGUAUUUCAGGGGGAGCGGUAAAAUGUUAUAAUCCUUGAAAGACUUCCAGUGGCGAAGGCGCUUGUCCAGAACGGUUCUGACAAUGAGGAAUGAAAGCUAGGGGCGCAAAGCGGAUUAGAUACCCGCGUAGUCCUAGCCGUAAGCGCUGCGAGCUAUGUGUUGCAUAUUCUUCGAGAAUGUGCAGUGCCUAAGUGAAGACGUUAAGCUCGCUACCUGGGAAUUACGGUCGCAAGGCUGAAACUUAAAGGAAUAGGCGGGGGCUCACACAAGGAGUGGAGUGUGCGGUUCAAUUGGAUUCCACCCCGGAAAUCUUACCAAGAUCGACGGCAGAAUGAAGGUCAGAUUAAAGGUUUUACCUAACAAGCCGAGAGGUAUUGCAUGGCCGUCGUCAGCUCGUGCCGUAAGGUGUCCAGUUAAGUCUGGCAACGAGCAAGACCCACAUGUAUAUUUGCUAACGUUUCAGAGAUGAAGAAUGAGCACAAUAUAUGGACUGCCUGUGAAAACAGGAGGAAGGCGUGGGCAACGAUAGGUCCGUAUGAUCUGAAUAUCUUGGGCUACACGCGCGCAACAAUGGUAGGGACAAUGGGUCACAACUCCGAGAGGAGAAGUUAAUCCUCAAAACCCUAUCUUAGUCUAGAUCGAGCAUUGAAACUCAUGCUCGUGACAACGGAAUUCCUAGUAAUCGUUCAUCACUAUUGAACGGUGAAUAUGUCCCUGAGCCUUGCACUCACCGCCCGUCAAACCAUUCGAGUAGGGUUCAAAUGAGGUCUGUUCUCUAGAAUAGAACAAAUUUGGAUUCAAUAAGAAGGGUUAAGUCGUCACAAGGUA
rnacentral:rRNA from 1 species